ACGAGCUACUGAAGAUAUACAAUCUAAGGUUAGGAAGCUUAUAAUUUUAUUAUAAGUUUACAGACGAAUCUAACUAACAGUGUCGUCCAAAUUCUGGUGCCAGAAGACUCGGUAAUACCAGAGACGCGAACGUUAAUCAUCUUAAAUAGGCAUAAAGGGUUUGUAGGCGGCUUAUUUAUUAAUAGGAUAGAAUCUUAUAGAGGUUAAUAAAAUACUUAGAGUUCUAGGGCUGAUAUCCUUAGAUCCUAAGUGGAAUCCUAAUUGCGAAGGCCAUUUUCCACUACAGAUUGACGCUGAGACACGAAGGUUAGGAUAGGAACUAGGAUUAGAGACCCUAUUACCCCUAACUGUAAACGAUGAAUGGAAGAUAUUUACAUGAUUACUGUAAGUGUCGAAGUGAAUACGAUAACCAUUCCGCCUUGCCAGUAUACUUGCAAAAGUGAAAACAAAAAAAUUAGUCGGUCCUAAAGCAAACGAAGUGAAGCAUGUUAUUUA
rnacentral:rRNA from 1 species